rnacentral:rRNA from 1 species
CAGUAGCCGCGGUAAUACAGAGGGUGCGAGCGUUAAUCGGAUUUACUGGGCGUAAAGCGUGCGUAGGCGGCUUUUUAAGUCGGAUGUGAAAUCCCUGAGCUUAACUUAGGAAUUGCAUUCGAUACUGGGAAGCUAGAGUAUGGGAGAGGAUGGUAGAAUUCCAGGUGUAGCGGUGAAAUGCGUAGAGAUCUGGAGGAAUACCGAUGGCGAAGGCAGCCAUCUGGCCUAAUACUGACGCUGAGGUACGAAAGCAUGGGGAGCAAACAGGAUUAGAUACCCCGGUAGUCCCUGUCUCUUAUAC